UUUCACUUAGACUUCCUUUCGAGCUGGAUGUCUUGACCGGUCGACUGGUCGAGAUACUUCGCCGCAAAUAACAACAUGGCUUUGAAUUUAAGCAGAUCAGCUCUCAGACGUUUGAGGGGAAGGCAUUAUGGAACUUUGGCACCUGUCACUCGCACUGAAGAUAUGAAAGUGUUGACCUUAGGAAAUAAGAUCAAGGUGGUCGCACUUGACAACAUUAAUACAAGCUCAUCCAUCGGACAGGUGUCCUUCUAUAUAAAAGCUGGAUCUAGAUAUGAGACCCCCUACCAACAAGGAGUCACCCACUAUCUCAGGGCUACAGCCCUCAAUCAUGCAGGUCCUUUCUCUGGUUUCAAACUCACCAAAAGCAUUGAUCUAGCUGGAGGAAAUUUAAGUGUGCAGACCACAAGGGAACACACAAUCUACACCGUAGAGGGACCAGUCUAUGAAAUGGCUGACUUUACAAAAUACUUGGGAGCCAUCCUGACAAAGCCCAAAUAUGACACUUGGUACCGUGAGUCUUGUGAAUGGCGAGUAAUCGAAGACCUGGCAAAGUACAAAGUCAACAACGACCAAGUUGCCUUUGAAGAACUGCACCGUGCUGCCUAUAGAUACAACUUGGGGAAUUCGGUGUACUGCCCGGAAUCCAUGGUUGGAAGUGUGAACAGUGCAAUGUUAACUUAUUUCCUUGUUGACCACUUCCGGGGUGAGGACAUUACUGUUGUGGGGUCAGGCAUUGAGCAGGGAGAGCUGGAGAAAUUUGUGGAGCCCCUGGAGACUUUGGACGAGGUGUAUGAAGAAAUAAUGGACCUACUGGAGGACCCCAGGGGACGAACAUCAUUUGAUUACUCCGGAUCAGAAUACGCCAUUGCUGUGCCGGAAAGGGAAGAGGUUGAUAUAGUGGAUAUGGAGGACAUCUUUAAGAUUCCACACCUGCCUGCUAAAUACUAUGGAGGUGAAUUGAGAAUAAAGAAUACGUCGCCAGAUGCUACAUUCAUCUUUGCAAAACAAGGAGUUAGCUACAAUAAUGAGAGGGAUCUUCUGGCAUCUGGAAUACUCCAGAUGAUACUGGGAACAGGGAUCAGUAUGAAGUACGGAUCAGGGGGAGGCAGCCACAAGCUCUCCUCAGCAGUUUGUCAGGCUACGGACAGGAAGUGCUCAGCUACAGGUAUCAACAUUAACUACAGUGACUCCGGUUUGUUUGGGUAUGCGGUCAGAGGGACUGGGUAUGAAAUGCGAGCAGUAAGUAUUACAGUCUGCUCCCCAGCAGUCAGACAGUUACUAGAAGGCAUUUGGCUUAUUGGAAUAAAUAUUUAGCAUGAAAUCACAACAUCUCUGAAUAUUAUCAAUUAGGGUAUUAAGUAAUGUUAUUACAGAAAUUUGAUAAUUGUUUCUUUUUUUACAGGCAGUGGAGGCAGCUAACAAAGUGUUUAAGGAGACAUUGUCAGACAUUAAAUCAUCAGAUGUAGAGGCUGCUAAAAAUAAACUGAAAUCAGCUUAUGGUUAUUAUGCUGAGAAUGACGCUAACCUGAUGUAUGAAAUAGGAACAAAGGGAAGAGCCCUGGAUCUUAAUGCUCUGUUCCAAUCAAUUGACCAGAUCAGUCAGCAAGACGUAGCUAAGUUUGCAGAUAAAGUUAAGGCAUCACCCUCCACAGCCUCAUCCGCUGGUAAUAUCAUGAACACCCCUGUGUUACAGGAGCUGGAGUAAUGUGUGUCACAACGGAACUCUUACUGUAGACUAUUGGACAAUUUAUGAGUCGCUCCGAGAAGUGAAUGGAAUUGCUAUUGUUUUCUUCUGUGGUCAUUUAUUGAAAAUAAAUUAUUUUUAAGAAAAUGAC
rnacentral:misc_RNA from 1 species